rnacentral:rRNA from 1 species
UACGUAGGGGGCAAGCGUUGUCCGGAAUCAUUGGGUCGUUAAAGGAGCGUGUAGGCGGCUUGGUAAGUCUCGCGUGAAAUCUUGCGGCUCAACCGCAAGCUGUCGUGAGAAACGUACCUGGCUAGAAUCCGGGAAGAGGGAGAGCGGUAAUUCCUGGGAUGUAGCGGGUGGUAAUGCGCAGGAUAAUCAGGAAGAACACCCGUGGCGGAAAGGCGGCCUCUCUAGGGACGGUAUUGACGCUGAGACGCGAAAGCGUGGGGAGCGAAACAGG